UACGGAGGGUGCAAGCGUUAUCCGGAUUUACUGGGUUUAAAGGGUGCGUAGGCGGGUUUCCAAGUCAGUGGUGAAAGCUCCGAGCUUAACUCGGAAAUUGCCAUUGAUACUGGAAGUCUUGAAUUCAGUUGAGGUCGGCGGAAUGUGUCGUGUAGUAGUGAAAUACUUAGAUAUGACACAGAACACCAAUUGCGAAGGCAGCUGGCUAACCUGACAUUGACGCUGAGGCACGAAAGCGUGGGGAGCAAACGGG
rnacentral:rRNA from 1 species